rnacentral:rRNA from 1 species
AACGAACGCUGGCGGCAUGCCUAACACAUGCAAGUCGAACGAAACCUUCGGGUCUAGUCGCGCACGGGUCCGUGACGCGUGGGAACCUGCCCUUAGGUUCGGCAUAACUCGCCGAAUGGCGUGCUAAUACGGGCUCAUGUCCUCCGACCGAAGAUUUAUCGCCAUUGGGUGGGCGCGCGUUGUAUUAGCUUGUUGUUAGGGUAAAAGCCUACCACGGCUUCGUUGCAUAGCUGGUCAGAGAGGCUGAUCAGCCACACUGGGACGGGGACACGGUCCAGACUACUACGGGAGGCAGCAGUGGGGAAUAUUGGAAAACGGGCGGAAGGCUGAAGCAGCACGGCUGGGAGAGUGAUGAAGGUCGUAGGGUUGGAAAGCACGUUUACCCGUGAUGAUAAUGACGGUACCGGGAGAAUAAGCACCGGCUAACUCCGUG